UAUCUAGUCAAAGCUUAAAAAUGAGCAGGUGGGGUUAUUUAGGUUUUGAUAUUACUGCAUAUAGGCAUUACACUGGGUGCUUCACAUGUAUUUAAGCCUCAGGAAAAUUUAAAAUGGCCUGGAUCUCUUCACUUGGUAAAUAAGCUCAUGUCUGACCACACCCCCACACACCUCAACACAUGCACCUGGAAUAAGGGGUUUGUUUGUUCUUUUGUUUUUUGUUUUUGGGGGGGGGUUUGGUUUGGUUUGGUUUGGUUUUGGGGUUUUUUGUUGUUGUUUUUGAAGACAGAGUUUCUCUGUGUAUCCCUGGUUGUCCUGAAACUCACUCUGUAGAUCAGACUGGCUUCAAAUUCAAGAGAUCUGCCUGCCUCCGCCUCCGCCUCCGCCUCUGCCUCCGAGUGCUGGGACUACAGGUGUAGAACACUACCUCCUGGCCCAGAGGCAAAAUUUUUUAGUUGAGUAUGAUGAUGCAUGUCCAUAAUCCCCACACUGGAGAGAUGAGACAAUGUUUACAAGUUCAAGACCAGCCUAAUCUACCGGGUGAGUUUCAGACCAGCCAGGGCUAUAUAAUAAGAUCCUCCUGUCUCUACCAGCUUCCCAAAAAGAGAAAGGCAGAAUUGUUGCAAUAUCUUAGUCCAGAGGCUAAAAGCUAUUUUUAAGUCCCCAGAAUGAUUUAUUUGAUUUUUUUUUCCUUUAUAUAUUAUACACAAUUUUAAAACCAAACAUGUUGGUAUUUAUAAACUGUUGGUGGUGAUUCUCGGGCUAUUAUUAAGGAGUGUGGAUUCAUUUACAAGAUGGACAGUUGAAUAUUUGCAUUGUUUAAAAUAUAUACAACAUUCCAUCUCAGCCUUGGCUAUAGAACAUGGCUAGUGGUCUAAUGCACAGGUCUUUACUGGCAGACAGACCUCUUAACUUUGUCUUAUGUCUUUGACAGAAUAGAGGUUACUUGCUAAAUUGUUAUUGGUGUUUGCACUUCUCAAUAGUUAGGCUGAUUCUUCCAUGUGAUACUGUGCACGGAAAAGUACAUAAGCUAGAGAGUAAUGCUUAGGAUAGACACGUCUGCAAGAGACAGCAUGGAAAUGCUUAAUAUGUGUCGACUAGGUUUCCAAAUAACAGGUCACAUUUUUUUCUGGGGACCUAGGGGAGACUGACCAUAACACUGUAAGUAAGAUAACACUCUGUCUAAUAUCGCUGUCAACCUUAGGGCGUGGGUAAGGAAUCCGAACGUAAAGGCUAAGAAACUUUGUGUUUGUUUGUUUUUUCAUGACAAGGUUUCUCUGUGUAACUCUGGCUGUCCUGGAACUCACUCUGUAAACCAGGCUGGCCUCGAACUCAUAGAUCGUUUUCCUACCUCUGCCUCCCGAGUGCUGACCCUGAGGUGUGUACCACCACGGUCUGCUGAGACAAUGAAACUUCAUUUACUGCUUUACCUGCAUGUUCCAGGUAACGUGCUGGGCACUUUGAGGAAACAUCUCUCUGAAUCCUUUUAUAAAGAUACAUCCUGGAAGGAAUUUACCUUGUGCCAGGAGUGCUUGGGCUUCCUAAUUACUUUUAAUUUCAUCGAUUAGUUUAUUUCCUUGAUAGUAAUAUCUACCACUUAUCAGGCCUGUCCCUGUGCUUUAGAUACUUGUCAAGCAUUAUCUCUGACCCUUCACUGCAGCCCUUUUGUACUAGGCCUUAUUUUAGUUGAGCUUCUAGAAUUCAGACUUUUCCUAAAGUAACAUAUUAAUAGAACCAGAAUUCAAACUCAUGUCCAGGACUUUGUUACAUGGCUUGUUCCUUCCUGAGUUGUUUUUAUGCUAUUAGUUUCCUCUUUAUUUAUUACAUAAUGUCUAACUUGCUUCCUAAGCUUUUUAUCCUUAGCAACUCAUGUCUGGAGGGAAGUUGGAAAGAGGCAACAGAUCUGCUUGCUUAUGGAGAUGCAGACAUUUGACUUGAACUUGAAACACUUCUCAGAAAUGGGGCUUUGGGGACUGGAGCACUGUUUUUGGCAGAGGACCUGGUUCAGCUCCCAGCACCCACAUGGCAGCUCACAACUGUAGCUCCACUUCCAAUGGAUCCAAUACCCCUUCUGACCACUGAGGGCUCUUGUCUACAUGUGCUGCACACACAUACACUCAGACGUAUACACAUAUAUUUAAAAUAAAUAUUUUUAAAAGAAAAAGUAGUGUCUAUCACAUCUUUGCUUUGAUUUAGUUGUUAAUGUUUGCUUGUAAUAUUAAGCAUUAACCAUACAUAAUAAAUAAAGCGUGCGAUGUUUUCUCUGGUGUAUGAGGACUCACUCAUUUAACAAAUGUUUAUUAGCUACAGGCUGUGUACCUGUCUGUCAUUGAACAAGACAGAAGUACUCCUGCCUUCAUAGAGUUUAUAAUACAUAAAAUAUUUGUGAAUAGGUGAAUUGUAUACUGUUUCACUCAUCACACCACAAGAAGUCACGCUUGUGUAAGUUGUUGAAUACAAGAACUAUAGAAACUUAGAGCUAUUAACUUUUGUGUAGAACCAUUCAGAAUAGCACACAAAUGAAUUACUUAGAAUUGAUCUAACUUCAGGAAAACAGUGACAACAUACAAAAAUUUGUUUGAAAGUUAAAGAAAAAACUAAGAAACUAGAUAAGUCAAAAAGUCUUAGCUGGAGCUUUGUCAGAGUUUCUGAAAGUGCAGUUGUCACACAGAUGUAUUGACUUAAUUAGUCGAUAACACCGCUCAGUUAUGCUUCAGCAUCUCACACAUGCACAAGUUGGUAACUCGAAGUCACACAAUAUUUGUGAGUUAUCUUCUAUACCACAAGUUUUAGUGUCUGACUACCAACUUCUCUGAGUGUAUAUAAGAUGCUUAAGCAUAAAUAAAUUAUAUUAUGUAGCUCAAGUGAGAAACACAGUUGCUUCCGAACUUGUGUUUGCAUGGGGUUUCUUAUAAAAUCUUCUGGUGAUAUGGAUUCCUAAUAUACCAUACAACUUUGUAAAACUGUUUUGGUUAAUUGUCCUAAGGGUAUUCUAGCUGCAUGGAGUUGGGAAGAGUGAGCUAUAUAUAUACUUGGAGAAAAGAUUAAACUUACUCUGUGAUAGGUAAGAAGUUUAUCAUGCCAGGUGGCAGAAGCAGGCAGAUCUUUGUGAGUUCAAGGCCAGCCUGGUCUACAGAAUGUGUUCCAGGACAGCUAAAGCUACACAGAGAAACCCUGUCUGGGAACACCCC
rnacentral:lncRNA from 1 species